rnacentral:rRNA from 1 species
GUGCAGCAGUCGCGAAAACUCUGCAAUACGCGUAAGCGUGACAGGGCUACCCCGAGUGUCGUCCGCUGAGGACGACUUUUCCACGCUGUAAGGAGGCGUGGGAAUAAGGAGAGGGCAAGUCUGGUGUCAGCCGCCGCGGUAAUACCAGCUCUCCGAGUGGUAGGGACGUUUAUUGGGCUUAAAGCGUCCGUAGCCGGCUCAACAAGUCUCCCGUUAAAUCCAACGAUUCAAUCGUUGGACUGCGGGAAAUACUGUUUGGCUAGGGGGCGAGAGAGGCCAACGGUAUUCCCGGGGUAGGGGUGAAAUCCUAUAAUCCCGGGAGGACCACCAGUGGCGAAGGCUGUUGGCUAGAACGCGCUCGACGGUGAGGGACGAAAGCUGGGGGAGCGAACCGGAUUAGAUACCCGGGUAGUCC